UACGGGAGGCAGCAGUGGGGAAUAUUGCACAAUGGGCGCAAGCCUGAUGCAGCCAUGCCGCGUGUAUGAAGAAGGCCUUCGGGUUGUAAAGUACUUUCAGUCGUGAGGAAGGUGUUAAGGUUAAUAACCUUAGCAAUUGACGUUAGCGACAGAAGAAGCACCGGCUAACUCCGUGCCAGCAGCCGCGGUAAUACGGAGGGUGCGAGCGUUAAUCGGAAUUACUGGGCGUAAAGGGCACGCAGGCGGUUAAUUAAGUUGGAUGUGAAAAUCCCCGGGCUUAACCUGGGAAUGGCAUUCAAGACUGGUUAGCUAGAGUCUUGUAGAGGGGGUAGAAUUCCAUGUGUAGCGGUGAAAUGCGUAGAGAUGUGGAGGAAUACCGGUGGCGAAAGGCGGCCCCCUGGACAAAGGACUGACGCUCAUGUGCGAAAAGCGUGGGGAGCAAACAGGGAUUAGAUACC
rnacentral:rRNA from 1 species